rnacentral:rRNA from 1 species
GAUGAACGCUGGCGGCGUGCCUAACACAUGCAAGUCGAGCGAAAGGACGAGAAGCUUGCUUCUCUGAUGUUAGCGGCGGGCGGGUGAGUAACACGUGGAAAACCUACCUAUAAUACUGGGAUCACCUCGGGAAUCCGGCGAUAAUCCCGGAUAAUCUUCUGCACCGCAUGGUUCAAAAGUGAAAUACGGUCUUGCUGUCUCUUAUCGCUGGAUCCGCGCUUUAUUAGCUAGUUGGUAAGGUAACGGCCUACCAAGGCGACGAUGCAUAACCGACCUGAGAGGGUGGUAGCCCACACGAGAACGUGGACGCGGUCAUGGCGCCUACGAGAGGCAGCAGUAUGGAAUCGUCGGCAGUAGUCGAAAACCUUACGGAGCGAGGCGGCGUGAGAUAUGAAAAUCUUGCGAUCGUGAUGCUCUGUUAUUAGGGAAAAACAUAUGUGGAAGUAACUGAGCAGAUCGUGACGGUACCUGAUCAAAAAGCAACGGCUAACUACGUG